rnacentral:rRNA from 1 species
UAACCUGCCUGGUAGCGGGGGGUAACUAUUGGAAACGAUAGCUAAUACCGCAUAAGAGUAGAUGUUGCAUGACAUUUGCUUAAAAGGUGCAAUUGCAUCACUACCAGAUGGACCUGCGUUGUAUUAGCUAGUUGGUGAGGUAACGGCUCACCAAGGCGACGAUACAUAGCCGACCUGAGAGGGUGAUCGGCCACACUGGGACUGAGACACGGCCCAG